AAAUAAAAUAAAGAGUAAAUUUCAAAUAUCAUCUCUGUAACUUCGUAGUUUUUCACUUUAAUAGCCUAUGAUUUAAAAUAUAUCGAUUUAUAAAUUAAUACUCUGCGAUUUUAUUUUUCGCUUUUCGUCAGCCCCUCCGUUAACUUUUCGUUAAAUCAUAUACAAAAAUUUCAUAUACCCUACCUAUAGUUUAUCGAAUAUUCACUUUAGUACUCUUUAGUUUUAAUUUUGUCACUGAUUUAACGAAAAAAUAAAAUCACAGGAUACGAAAGUAAUACAUUUUAAACCAUAUUAUACUAAAGUGAGAAAGUGCGAAACAAUAAGGGUGGUAUUUUACGUUUUUCCUAAAAUAAAGGGAAAAAAAAUUUUAAGCCCCUUCAUGUGAAAAUUUACGGAGACCUCCUCAACUAUAGCUUAUUUCGAAUAUGCCGUUUAGCUUUAUUAAUUUUUUUGGCAUCUUUUUAAUAAUUUUUAUUAAAUAAUAUGAAAUAAUUAUUGUUAUUCAAAAAAAUUAAACUGAUAAUAGAGAACAAUUCGCGCGUGGACUAGAGAAUAUGAAACUUGAUUGUAGUAAUUUAAAAUUUUGGGAAUAUGAAACUUGAUUGUAGUAAUUUAAAAUUUUAACUCAAAAAUUAUAAUAAAUUUAAAUUUUGGGAAUUGAAAUACUGCCCACCUUACAAUUUGAGAAUUAAAAUAGGAUAAACUUCAAAUACGAUUCCUGUGGUUUCGCACUUUCUCACUUUAGUAUCCUGUGGUUUAAAGUAUAUCAAGUUAGUGUCCUGUGGUUUUAUUUUUAUCUUUUCGCCAGCUUUUUCGUUAAUAUUUCGUUAAAUUAUAUACAAAAAAUUUCAGAUAUUCCACCUAAAUUUAUCGAAUAUUCAUUUUAGUACCCUUUAGUUUUAAUUUUGUCGCUAAUUUAACGAAAAAAAUUAGUGAAAUCGAUAAUAAAAAAAUAAAAGUGAAACCACAGAACACUAAAUUGAUACACUUUAACCCAUAUGGUACUAAAGUAAGAAAGUGUAAAACCACAGGGGUUAUAUUUAAAAUUUUUUCAUUAAAAUAUAAUUUGAGCACAUACCACAUCUAGCACAAUUGGUAGUGAUUUAAUGUCAGGUAUCCGAGGCGAAGAUCUUAAUUUCAGAAC
rnacentral:lncRNA from 1 species